rnacentral:tRNA from 1 species
GUAUUCGUGGCGUAACGGUUAGCACACUCGGCGCGUAUUCGAGAGGUCCAGGUUCGAAUCCCGGCGAAGGCA